CCUACGGAGAGCAGCAGUGGGGAAUAUUGGACAAUGGGCGAAAGCCUGAUCCAGCCAUGCCGCGUGUGUGAAGAAGGCCUUCGGGUUGUAAAGCACUUUCAGUGGGGAAGAAAGCCUUGGGGCUAAUACCCUCGAGGAAGGACAUCACCCACAGAAGAAGCACCGGCUAACUCCGUGCCAGCAGCCGCGGUAAUACGGAGGGUGCGAGCGUUAAUCGGAAUUACUGGGCGUAAAGCGCGCGUAGGCGGUCUGAUAAGCCGGUUGUGAAAGCCCCGGGCUCAACCUGGGAACGGCAUCCGGAACUGUCAGGCUAGAGUGCAGGAGAGGAAGGUAGAAUUCCCGGUGUAGCGGUGAAAUGCGUAGAGAUCGGGAGGAAUACCAGUGGCGAAGGCGGCCUUCUGGACUGACACUGACGCUGAGGUGCGAAAGCGUGGGUAGCAAACAGGAUUAGAUACCCUAGUAGUC
rnacentral:rRNA from 1 species